GGGGAAUAUUGCACAAUGGGCGAAAGCCUGAUGCAGCGACGCCGCGUGAGUGAAGAAGUAUUUCGGUAUGUAAAGCUCUAUCAGCAAGGAAGAUAAUGACGGUACUUGACUAAGAAGCCCCGGCUAACUACGUGCCAGCAGCCGCGGUAAUACGUAGGGGGCAAGCGUUAUCCGGAUUUACUGGGUGUAAAGGGAGUGUAGGUGGCAUGGCAAGUCAGAAGUGAAAGCCCAGGGCUCAACCCUGGGACUGCUUUUGAAACUGCCGCGCUAGAGUGCAGGAGAGGUAAGUGGAAUUCCUAGUGUAGCGGUGAAAUGCGUAGAUAUUAGGAGGAACACCAGUGGCGAAGGCGGCUUACUGGACUGUAACUGACACUGAGGCUCGAAAGCGUGGGGAGCAAAC
rnacentral:rRNA from 1 species